rnacentral:rRNA from 1 species
UAUCAGCACCCCGAGUGGUCGGGACGAUUAUUGGGCCUAAAGCAUCCGUAACCGGCCUUACAAGUCCUCCGUUAAAUCCAGCUGCUUAACAGAUGGGCUGCGGAGGAUACUAUAAGACUAGGAGGCAGGAGAGGCAAGCGGUACUCAGUGGGUAGGGGUAAAAUCCGUUGAUCCAUUGAAGACCACCAGUGGCGAAGGCGGCUUGCCAGAAUGCGCUCGACGGUGAGGGAUGAAAGCUGGGGGAGCAAACCGG